rnacentral:rRNA from 1 species
ACUUUUGACGGUGGAUCUCUUGGCUCACGCAUCGAUGAAGAACGCAGCCAGCUGCGAUAAAUAGUGUGAAUUGCAGAAUUCAGUGAAUCAUCGAAUCUUUGAACGCAAAUGGCGCUCUUGGGUUCUCCCAGGAGCAUGUCUGUCUGAGUGUCGGAUAU